rnacentral:rRNA from 1 species
AACGAACGCUGGCGGCAGGCCUAACACAUGCAAGUCGAGCGCCCAGCAAUGGGAGCGGCAGACGGGUGAGUAACGCGUGGGAACCUUCCCGAUAGUACGGAAUAGACCAGGGAAACUUGGAGUAAUACCGUAUACGCCCGCAAGGGGAAAGAUUUAUCGCUAUCGGAUGGGCCCGCGGAGGAUUAGCUAGUUGGUGGGGUAAUGGCGCACCAAGGCGACGAUCCUUAGCUGGUUUGAGAGAAUGACCAGCCACACUGGGACUGAGAAACGGCCCAGACUCCUACGGGAGGAAGCAGUGGAGAAUCUGGGACAAUGGGCGCAAGCCUGAUCCAGCCAUGCCGCGUGAGUGACGAAGGUCUUCGGAUUGUAAAGCUCUUUUGCCAGGGACGAUAAUGACGGUACCUGGAGAAUAAGCCCCGGCUAACUUCGUGCCAGCCGCCGCCGUAA